UUAAGUUAUUAAGGGCGCACGGUGGAUGCCUUGGCACUAGAAGCCGAUGAAGGACGUUACUAACGACGAUAUGCUUUGGGGAGCUGUAAGUAAGCUUUGAUCCAGAGAUUUCCGAAUGGGGAAACCCAGCAUGAGUUAUGUCAUGUUAUCGAUAUGUGAAUACAUAGCAUAUCAGAAGGCACACCCGGAGAACUGAAACAUCUUAGUACCCGGAGGAAGAGAAAGAAAAUUCGAUUCCCUUAGUAGCGGCGAGCGAAACGGGAAGAGCCCAAACCAACAAGCUUGCUUGUUGGGGUUGUAGGACACUCUAUACGGAGUUACAAAGGACGACAUUAGACGAAUCAUCUGGAAAGAUGAAUCAAAGAAGGUAAUAAUCCUGUAGUCGAAAAUGUUGUCUCUCUUGAGUGGAUCCUGAGUACGACGGAGCACGUGAAAUUCCGUCGGAAUCUGGGAGGACCAUCUCCUAAGGCUAAAUACUCUCUAGUGACCGAUAGUGAACCAGUACCGUGAGGGAAAGGUGAAAAGCACCCCGGAAGGGGAGUGAAGUAGAACCUGAAACCGUGUGCUUACAAGUAGUCAGAGCCCGUUAAUGGGUGAUGGCGUGCCUUUUGUAGAAUGAACCGGCGAGUUACGAUUUGAUGCAAGGUUAAGCAGUAAAUGUGGAGCCGUAGCGAAAGCGAGUCUGAAUAGGGCGUUUAGUAUUUGGUCGUAGACCCGAAACCAGGUGAUCUACCCUUGGUCAGGUUGAAGUUCAGGUAACACUGAAUGGAGGACCGAACCGACUUACGUUGAAAAGUGAGCGGAUGAACUGAGGGUAGCGGAGAAAUUCCAAUCGAACCUGGAGAUAGCUGGUUCUCUCCGAAAUAGCUUUAGGGCUAGCCUCAAGUGAUGAUUAUUGGAGGUAGAGCACUGUUUGGACGAGGGGCCCCUCUCGGGUUACCGAAUUCAGACAAACUCCGAAUGCCAAUUAAUUUAACUUGGGAGUCAGAACAUGGGUGAUAAGGUCCGUGUUCGAAAGGGAAACAGCCCAGACCACCAGCUAAGGUCCCAAAAUAUAUGUUAAGUGGAAAAGGAUGUGGCGUUGCCCAGACAACUAGGAUGUUGGCUUAGAAGCAGCCAUCAUUUAAAGAGUGCGUAAUAGCUCACUAGUCGAGUGACACUGCGCCGAAAAUGUACCGGGGCUAAACAUAUUACCGAAGCUGUGGAUUGUCCUUUGGACAAUGGUAGGAGAGCGUUCUAAGGGCGUUGAAGCAUGAUCGUAAGGACAUGUGGAGCGCUUAGAAGUGAGAAUGCCGGUGUGAGUAGCGAAAGACGGGUGAGAAUCCCGUCCACCGAUUGACUAAGGUUUCCAGAGGAAGGCUCGUCCGCUCUGGGUUAGUCGGGUCCUAAGCUGAGGCCGACAGGCGUAGGCGAUGGAUAACAGGUUGAUAUUCCUGUACCACCUAUAAUCGUUUUAAUCGAUGGGGGGACGCAGUAGGAUAGGCGAAGCGUGCGAUUGGAUUGCACGUCUAAGCAGUAAGGCUGAGUAUUAGGCAAAUCCGGUACUCGUUAAGGCUGAGCUGUGAUGGGGAGAAGACAUUGUGUCUUCGAGUCGUUGAUUUCACACUGCCGAGAAAAGCCUCUAGAUAGAAAAUAGGUGCCCGUACCGCAAACCGACACAGGUAGUCAAGAUGAGAAUUCUAAGGUGAGCGAGCGAACUCUCGUUAAGGAACUCGGCAAAAUGACCCCGUAACUUCGGGAGAAGGGGUGCUCUUUAGGGUUAACGCCCAGAAGAGCCGCAGUGAAUAGGCCCAAGCGACUGUUUAUCAAAAACACAGGUCUCUGCUAAACCGUAAGGUGAUGUAUAGGGGCUGACGCCUGCCCGGUGCUGGAAGGUUAAGAGGAGUGGUUAGCUUCUGCGAAGCUACGAAUCGAAGCCCCAGUAAACGGCGGCCGUAACUAUAACGGUCCUAAGGUAGCGAAAUUCCUUGUCGGGUAAGUUCCGACCCGCACGAAAGGCGUAACGAUUUGGGCACUGUCUCAACGAGAGACUCGGUGAAAUCAUAGUACCUGUGAAGAUGCAGGUUACCCGCGACAGGACGGAAAGACCCCGUGGAGCUUUACUGUAGCCUGAUAUUGAAAUUCGGCACAGCUUGUACAGGAUAGGUAGGAGCCUUUGAAACGUGAGCGCUAGCUUACGUGGAGGCGCUGGUGGGAUACUACCCUAGCUGUGUUGGCUUUCUAACCCGCACCACUUAUCGUGGUGGGAGACAGUGUCAGGCGGGCAGUUUGACUGGGGCGGUCGCCUCCUAAAAGGUAACGGAGGCGCUCAAAGGUUCCCUCAGAAUGGUUGGAAAUCAUUCAUAGAGUGUAAAGGCAUAAGGGAGCUUGACUGCGAGACCUACAAGUCGAGCAGGGUCGAAAGACGGACUUAGUGAUCCGGUGGUUCCGCAUGGAAGGGCCAUCGCUCAACGGAUAAAAGCUACCCCGGGGAUAACAGGCUUAUCUCCCCCAAGAGUUCACAUCGACGGGGAGGUUUGGCACCUCGAUGUCGGCUCAUCGCAUCCUGGGGCUGUAGUCGGUCCCAAGGGUUGGGCUGUUCGCCCAUUAAAGCGGUACGCGAGCUGGGUUCAGAACGUCGUGAGACAGUUCGGUCCCUAUCCGUCGUGGGCGUAGGAAAUUUGAGAGGAGCUGUCCUUAGUACGAGAGGACCGGGAUGGACAUACCUCUGGUGUACCAGUUGUCGUGCCAACGGCAUAGCUGGGUAGCUAUGUGUGGACGGGAUAAGUGCUGAAAGCAUCUAAGCAUGAAGCCCCCCUCAAGAUGAGAUUUCCCAACUUCGGUUAUAAGAUCCCUCAAAGAUGAUGAGGUUAAUAGGUUCGAGGUGGAAGCAUGGUGACAUGUGGAGCUGACGAAUACUAAUCGAUCGAAGACUUAAUCAA
rnacentral:rRNA from 1 species